GCCGGUAUGGCUAAGUGGUUAAGGCGUCUGUCUUGUAAACAGAAGAUCGGUGGUUCAAAUCCGCCUUCCGGCA
rnacentral:tRNA from 1 species